GCAGGUAGCCUAGUGGUUAGAGUGUAGGGGCGGCAGGUAGCCUAGCGGUUAGAGUGUAGGGGCGGCAGGUAGCCUAGCGGUUAGAGCGUAGGGGCGGCAGGUAGCCUAGUGGUUAGAGUGUAGGGACGGCAGGUAGCCUAGUGGUUAGAGUGUAGGGGUGGCAGGUAGCCUAGUGGUUAGAGUGUAGGGAGGGCAGGUAGCCUAGUGGUUAGAGUGUAGGGAUGGCAGGUAGCCUAGUGGUUAGAGUGUAGGGACGGCAGGUAGCCUAGUGGUUAGAGUGUAGGGAUGGCAGGUAGCCUAGUGGUUAGAGUGUAGGGACGGCAGGUAGCCUAGUGGUUAGAGUGUAGGGAUGGCAGGUAGCCUAGUGGUUAGAGUGUAGGGAUGGCAGGUAGCCUAGUGGUUAGAGUGUAGGGAUGGCAGGUAGCCUAGUGGUUAGAGUGUAGGGAUGGCAGGUAGCCUAGUGGUUAGAGUGUAGGGAUGGCAGGUAGCCUAGUGGUUAGAGUGUAGGGAUGGCAGGUAGCCUAGUGGUUAGAGUGUAGGGAUGGCAGGUAGCCUAGUGGUUAGAGUGUAGGGGCCUAGUGGUUAGAGGGGAGGCAGGUAGCCUAGUGGUUAGAGGGGAGGCAGGUAGCCUAGUGGUUAGAGGGGAGGCAGGUAGCCUAGUGGUUAGAGGGGUGGCAGGUAGCCUAGUGGUUAGAGGGGAGGCAGGUAGCCUAGUGGUUAGAGGGG